UGAGGAACAUGACCUUCGGCGGGGGAUAGCCGGCCCAACGGCCGGGUAAUACCGCGUACGACCACAUGGGGACAUCCCUGGGUGGUGAAAGCAGCAAUGCGCCGAUGGAGUGCCUCGCGGCCUAUCAGCUAGUUGGUGAGGUAACGGCUCACCAAGGCGACGACGGGUAGCUGGUCUGAGAGGAUGGCCAGCCACAUUGGGACUGAGACACGGCCCAGACUCCGUAGGGAGG
rnacentral:rRNA from 1 species